CGCAGAACCCAAAUGGGCUUUGUUGCCAAGGUGGCAUCAUGGCAAAUACAACGCUAAAACAAUACAGUCAAGCCCCAUGAACUGCUGGAUUUGGGGGAUCUGCAAACCCAGCUGCUGAGAAUGACUUCACUGGUAACUGGUAAUGACAGCUCGGACCAAGAGCUGUCAGAAACAUAGCACAGGACCAAUGACUUGCCAAAGCUGGAGUUAAGAAUCCAACCCCAUUUUCAUAGCAUUAAUAACAUGCACUCCAGAUUAACAUGCAGCUGUGAAGGGGGAAAAAAAACCCUGGUGCUUCUAUAAAUAAUGGAAGCACAAGACUCUUCAGGUCAAAUCUAAAGCCGGGGCUAACAUGCAAGAAUUCCUAACUCUCCGCCUUCUGUUCUGGGAGACUUCACAAAGAUCCUUACUGAGCUACGAGUGAGUAAAAGCUGAUCAAACACUUCAGGAGCUAGCUGCAACAGAUAAAUAAAGGUUUCCUG
rnacentral:lncRNA from 1 species